rnacentral:rRNA from 1 species
UACGUAGGGUGCAAGCGUUGUCCGGAAUUAUUGGGCGUAAAGAGCUCGUAGGCGGUUUGUCGCGUCGGAUGUGAAAACCCGGGGCUUAACCCCGGGCCUGCAUUCGAUACGGGCUGACUAGAGUACGGCAGGGGAGACUGGAAUUCCUGGUGUAGCGGUGAAAUGCGCAGAUAUCAGGAGGAACACCGGUGGCGAAGGCGGCAUCCUGGACCGGCAUUGACGCUGAGGCGCGAAAGCCAGGGGAGCAAACGGG